rnacentral:misc_RNA from 1 species
AAUAGAAUCAGGCAAGUCCAUUUCUCUGAGCCUCACUCGAGCUAGCUCACUCCCCUGUUGUAACUUCUCGGUUUGAGUCCUGAUGACAUCAUCAACCAUCUCAGUGUACCUAGAAAGAGCUUUUGUACUGUUGUCUGGGACAAGACUGGAAAACAUCUUCUCUUUGCUUGCAUCCAGAAUAUCAUUCAUCUGCAUAGGCUUGACCAAGGAAAAUGCUGCAAGUGGUGGCAGUGAACUGGCUGGUGGAACCCUCAUGAGGUAGACUCUGUCGUUUUCCUUAAUAGCCUUCUCCAAGUUUAGAUUUGAACUAGCUUCUAGCUUAGUAAUUGCAUCCAAGAGCUGCUGCGGUGCACCCCUUGGAGAUGUUUUUCUUGCCCCAGACAAGGCAUUAACA